CAUCUUAAAAUUAUUCUCAUAUUCAAUUUCUUUACAGGUAAAAUGAAGUUGUUUGGAAUAUUAAGCUUACAACUUCUGAUACUUACAAUUCAUAGCCAAAGAACCUUUGGCAACAAGGAUAGCUUAUCUUCCUCAGUAGAAAGAGACAGCAAGAAAGCUGGUGGAAAAGAAUACAGUAAAAAUUCUCAGCAUAACAAAAUACAGGACAAAGGACCAACUCAAGAUCAAGUUAUUCUCAACCUGACUCUGACAGAAGUAGAAAAACAUGACCUCCAACUCCAAUCCUCACAAACAAGGAUCUCUAGUGAAAGAAUUCUUGUCAAUCGUAACCUUCAAGAGCACCAGUCUACUGAAGGCAACCAGUACAGGAAUGCAUCUCCUUCACCUAAAAGAAAAAUGUCACAAUAUAAUAGUGCAAAAUCAAAUGAAGAAUGGGAUCAAUUAACAUCUAGACAGGGAAAGGAGAAUAGGGAUGUUGUCUGGACCUUACAUGAGGAUGGGGACUUUGAAGCUUUCACCAGCAGAGCCCCAGUGGUCAUUGUCUACUUUUACAGAAACAGUGGAUUAGCAGCCCUUAUAAGGUUCUUACGGGAGUACAACAAAUCAGCGCAAGAAUUGCUACAAUACAAUGUUUUGCUGGCCACUGUGGAGUGUGGAGAGUAUCAAGUAGCAUCAUACUGUGCCUCAGACAAGAUCAAUCGCUUUGCUUAUGGUUUCCGAGGAGGACAAGAAAAGAUUGCCUUUCCUUUGGACACACUCUUCAACAGCAAUGCUAUUGUGGCUUCUGCUCUUCACCUGGCACUGAUCAACACGGUCCCCAUCUUGCAGACAGCUGGAGAAAGACGUAAUCUUGAAAAGCGGUGUCGAGGUCAUUGUGACCUCAUCUUUGCUUACUUGCGUACCCUUGGAACUCUGGGAAGGAAAGAAUAUUGCCAGCAAAGAGCCUGUGUGUCCUCCUCUAGAUCUGAUGACCAAGAGACACUGAACUCAGACCCACAGAGGAGCCAGGUGUGCAUGAAAAAUGAACACCGAACAUUCUUGGAAGUGGCCCAUGCACACCAAUCCUCGUUUGUAUUUGCUAUCACCACCUACACUGCUGGAACCUUGGGGUUGCCCCCAUCUCCAUAUUCUGAAGAGGAGGCUCAAGAAAAGGGAGUGUGGGUGAUACACUGUCAGGACAAAACUGUCAACCAAGAGUGUGUAGUGAGCAACUACCAUGGCAAGAUGAUGCUACAGCAACUUCUUCACUUAAUCCAUGUCUUACAACUACCUUUGUGGCAUGAGGUAUCUGAGGUUCUUUCAUCUCAAGAUUUUGCGACUCCCUAUGACCAAGCUGACCUGCCUUGGGUACUACUGCUUCAUGACAACACUUCUGCUGCCCGUGUCAAAAUCCUGGCACCCAGCUUGGCUCAACUUUUACAUGGUUCAGUUGCCAUUAUCACUGUUAACUUGGAAGAUGACAGUAAAGACUUGCUUGCCACAGUUGGAGUGAACUAUCAUUCCAUCACCACACCAGCUCUUGCUUUCAUUCAAAGGGAUCAGAAAAGUGCAACAACACUGCUCAAUGAUUAUGAUGAUGCACUAGAGUGGAUUAAAGAGCAGUUAUUUGUCAUGCACCAAAAGGAACCACAAAGCAAAGAUGAACAAGGAUACCUUCCUGUACAGGUGGUAGAAGAGUUGCAACAAGAUGAUGAAGUGGUGCUGAGAAUAAUGAAGAAUAGCUUCCCUGGGAUAGUGCAGCUUGUUGGCCCUACACAUUACAACACCAUUCUCAAGAACAAGAAACUGGCUGUCAUUGCCUUCUAUAUAGGCUAUUCCUACAUGAGAUAAGCCAUCCACGCACCGGCCAGUCAGUUGCUGGACCGUUCCCGUGCUGGUCAGACGUGUUCUUCAGAUGUGGUCAUCGUUUUCCAUGGUGUUUCCUUCGAUCGGCAUUUGUCACGACAGGUGUCAGUCAUGUCGGGGCUGGAGGACCGCACAGCCCUGCCACCUGAGGUGUCCUGCCAUGGUAACAGCAGGAGGAGUGCCACUGGGUCAUCAAGGGAUAGCGUGAGGUCAAUGGAUAGCUCGGACGACUCCCAGGCAAGACUGGAAAGGGUGUAUGACAGUCGGAUGCGGCGCCGCCAGGAUGUAAACAAACCAGUUAGGCGCACACGUGCACAGACGUCCCCAGUUCAUGAGGAAAAUGUUCCUUCCUGGCAAAUGGUCAUGAAAGAACUGGUGCAUUUGAAAGGUGAAGUGGCUAAACUGUCGGCUAAUAAGUCCCCUGACCCACAGACGCACCAAGUAAAUUACCAGGCAAGUACUUUGGGGUUGCAGGCAGCUGCUUCGCCUGCGACUUUUUCUGGGUUUGUGGACUCCACUGAUGAGGAGGACGGUGAGAUUAGAGAGGUUCCUCAUUGGGGUAGUGUUUUAUUGCAGGCUGCCAAAGUUCUGGGACCCACGGACAGUGUUGAUGAGGAUAUUGACCCUAAGGUGGUUGCUAUGGUGAAUUUAUUUUUUGAAAAAAGGACUGCAGGAGAAGGAUUAUAAAGCCAUUACAGAAGAUACAGUUACCAGGCAUCCUAACAACUGUCCUGCCCUGGCACCUGUAGAGUGCAACCCACAAAUCAUGGCAGCCUUGUAAACGGAUGCCAAGAAAGCUGACUCUCGCCUCAUGGAGGGGAUCCAGCCAGCAAUGCACUCCUGCAGCACCUGAGUACCAUAGCACCCAUGCUAGAGGAGCACAACAGCCAGGCCUCUCUUUACAGUAUAAACUGUUUUGAUUGGCC
rnacentral:misc_RNA from 1 species